GCACCCUUUAUUUCGUGCAAAACACUACAUUUAUACGUUUGAUUUUACUUCUAGUUAGUUUCUUUUAUCAUCUCAAAUUGAAAGUACAAGUCAUGUCUUCGGGUCCAAUUCUUUGUAUCCAACAGUCAGCAUACAAAGAUUGAUGAAUGAGGCAUCUGGACUUGUUUGGCUGAACCUUUCCAUGUAUUGUGAGUGUUGAGCUCGAUGGUCAAGUGAUCUCUGUUGUUGCUUUGGCAUUUAAGUUGGUAACUUAUCAGAGUUAUUGUUUAUUUUGGCUCUCAUGAGGAUUAACGUGCCCAAAAAUAGGUCAUAACAGAAUUUCCAAGGUGAGCAAUCAUUCAUUUAUCAUAUUUUCUUGACCCAAGUACAUAUAUCAUUUACCUACACUUUAGUCAUGCAAUCCUCAUGAGAGCAAAAUAAGCAAUAACUUGAUAAUACCACAUUAUAGCGAAAGUAAAAAUGGUGAUCACUUGCCCAUGAGGCCGAACACUCUUAAUAGCAUGGUGUCAACCAAACAAGCCUAGUUACCACAUUUUAAUCAAAUUUGAGUUUUCAAUAAAGAUGAAAGAAGACAAUGGAGGAUUAAAUAUUACAUGAACCUGUGUCAAAACAACGAUAAAUGAUCUCUAUCUGUUAUAUUCGUAUGGGCGGCUUUCCUUGUGUAAAGAUCCAACCCACCUAUUGAUGACAAUGUAACAACCUAACUAACCUAAAUAGCUAAGGUAAGUAGGACAUUGUAUCCAUAUGGAAAAUAUGGUUAGUAUUAUAGUCUCGUUGAUAAUUAAGAAAAUGCAAAAAACGUGUAUUGAAGAUUGAAUUAAGCUAAAGCUAAACCAGUUUGCAAUGAAACUAUGAAGCAAGCAACAAAACAUAGGUAUGGUGAUAACUUUGUUUAAUCGGCUACAUAGACAUAACUUAUCUUGAUCUUAGCACUCACGUAGAGCAUCGUGAUUCAUGUGCUUAUACACCACUUUUGAUCCUUAUGCAUGAUUGGGUGACCCACUAUAAAUUGUACGUCGAAUCAAUAUUGAGGAAUUAAUCACACUAAAAUGAAUACAAAUCACAUACAUAUGACUAACAUUCGUUAGAAUGUUUAAGUUGAAUUGUAACCUGUUAACUUGAUAUGUGACAUCUGUAUUAGAAUACUUAGUAUCCAUAACCAAUAUAAUUAAAUUACCUUUAGAUACGAAUUAGAGCAGAUCGCACCAGUAGGACUUCUACUGGUAUUCAACAUUUUGUAAUGAGUUAUAAAUGAUUUGUUCU
rnacentral:lncRNA from 1 species